UCUUUCCUGGAGACUAGACUGCCUUUGUAGGACUAAAAAAUUAGCCAAAAUAUUAGAAAUUAUGGGUUAGGAGUCAUGCAGCUCAAGGCUACAAGAUUCUGACCCUCCCCAAAUUGCUCCUGAGGAUAACCUUGAAGCAGCUACGUUGUCUGGGACACUGCACUUGGUGGAUCAGCAGGCACCAUCCAGAUCGAUAAACUGGCUCAUCUGAUCUUAUGGUCUGCACCCAGGAACUGACUCAGCCCAGGAGGACAGCUUUGAUUCCCUAUGAUUGCAUCUCUGACCCAACCAAUCAGCACUCCUGACUCACUGGCUCCACCACCCACCAACUUAUCCUUAAAAACUCUUAUCCCUGAAUGCUCAGGGAGACUGAUUUGAGUAAUAAUAAAAUUCUGGUCUCCCAAACAGCC
rnacentral:lncRNA from 1 species